ACCACUCGUAUAUUUCCUCUUAUUGUGGGUUAUUUUUUUUUUUUUUUUAGUUUUGUUUGGACAAAUUUAGGACGAGUGGGAAUAAGGGACAGAUGUCACUGCUGUAAGUGUUGACGGGAGCUGGAAACUCCCCUCCCCAACUGCCUCCAGCCCUGAGGAGCACCAGCCCGUUCCUCUGUGUCAGGGGCACUGAUGAAGGGAUGAAGGGCAAUGUUUUGAAGCACGCUCCCACUUUGACCUGUAGUUCCUUCUGCCCUUCCAGAAGCCGGGAUCUGGAGCAGCAGGGCUAGCAGUCACCAUCCUCAACGAAGCUCCACUGUCUUGGUAUGGUGCCAUCUGCCACCUUUCCUCAGCUCUCACCUGCAGACUGUCACUCUUGCUGUGGCAGACACUGACCUGUGACCCUAAGCAACACGCUGGCUGCUUUCACCCCUCACAGAGAAAGCACUCCCCACUCACCAUCCCAUCCCUGUGGGAUGCACAGCUCCAUCCACAAACUCAUCCCUUCCCAGCGCCAGCCAUGCAGCUGCCCUUCUCCCCUCAGCCAGUGAUUUCUCCUGCUCGUUCCUUGCCUCAUCCCCCCUUUCCCUCCCUCCCGGUGUCUGCAUUUCUUGCACCGCUCGCUAUUUACUGACAGGGCAAUGUGACUUUUCGCACCGGCUCUCGCUGCUCGCUGCCCUGCCGAUUGGGCUGGGCAAAGCCUCUCCCCAGCCCCAGCUGGCCGGACAUCUCCCCCCACCUCCCCUCCCCUUCACAACCCGCCGAGCGACAGAUUCCACUCUCCCUCCCUCUCCCUUUCUUUUUCCACCCCUCCCGCCUUCAGCACAGACCCAAGACUCAGGAUCCCGCCGAGAGAAAGCGGCUCCUCGAAACCAUCACCGCAGCCCGUGCUGCUAAGGAGGGAGAGGAAAACCUCCGCACCACCUCCUGCAUCGGGGGGCUUCGCGGCGGGGCGAUGGCUUUGGGCUCCCGGAGAUCAUCUCUCACCUUUGCCCGGGGUGUGGGACCCGUCUUCUUCAUCCUUCAGAUCAUCUCCGUUCGGGCUGAUGACUUCCACAUCUGCCCAGCUCAGACGUCACCGAACAUCAGCUCACACGGGCAGGUACUGAGGAAGGGGAGACGAGAAGCUGAAGGUUUGUGCUCCCAGCAUUUUCGAUUCGGUAUGGCACGCUCAGGACAGCAGCUGACCCUCCUGCGAGGGCUUCACCUGCUCUGCACCGCCGAGGGGUUCGAUCCGAGCACAAACUGGGCUGAAUCACCACCAGCUGCUUACUCUGCAACACACUCGCUGACGGUAAUCCCGAAUGGCAGCAUCCUUUGCAAGCAGCCCGUUCCCCUUUGAAUAAUUAAGCCCCCCUGAUGAUGGCCAACUUGGCUUGGUGAUAACAUUAUUAAUUUUUAAAGCAACUGUUUCUUUUCCUGGGAGAGCAGUGCUGAAUGGCCAUUUUUUUGUUUUGUUUUUCAUUUUGCAGCUGCGAUAGAUUUAUGCCUGAUCUCAGGAUAUAUAUAUUUUGUCAGUACAGUAAUCCUUUACCACUGAUGUUUGCUGUAUUGUGCCGGAGAACAGUUCCUUAACAUUAUAGGGCAUUAUAAAC
ensembl:lncRNA